AUUCCAGCUCCAAUAGCGUAUAUUAAAGUUGUUGCAGUUAAAAAGCUCGUAGUUGGAUCUCAGGUCCAGGCUCGAGGUCCACCUCGCGGUGGCUACUUCCUGUCCUGACCUACCAUCCGGUUUUCCCUUGGUGCUCUUGAUUGAGUGUCUCGGGUGGCCAGAACGUUUACUUUGAAAAAAUUAGAGUGUUCAAAGCAGGCGCUUCGCCUGAAUAAUGGUGCAUGGAAUAAUGGAACAGGACCUCGGUUCUAUUUUGUUGGUUUUCGGAAGUCGAGGUAAUGAUUAAGAGGGACAGACGGGGGCAUUCGUAUUACGGUGUUAGAGGUGAAAUUCUUGGAUCGCCGUAAGACGAACUACUGCGAAAGCAUUUGCCAAGAAUGUUUUCAUCG
rnacentral:rRNA from 1 species